rnacentral:rRNA from 1 species
CAGAGGGUGCAAGCGUUAAUCGGAAUUACUGGCGUAAAGGGAGCGUAGGUGGCUCGAUAAGUCAGAUGUGAAAUACCCCGGGCCGUCAACCUGAGAACUGCAUCUGAUACUGUUGAGCUAGAGUAUGUGAGAGGAAGGUAGAAUUCCAGGUGUAGCGGUGAAAUGCGUAGAGAUCUGGAGGAAUACCGAUGGCGAAGGCAGCCUUCUGGCAUAAUACUGACACUGAGGCUCGAAAGCGUGGGUAGCAAACAGGAUU